AUGGCCGCGGCCAGGCCGCACCACAGGGCGCCGCCGGGGCGCGUGCCCACGAGGUGCGUCGCCGCGCUCUGCGCCGCCUGCUUCCUCCUCGGCGUCUGCGUCGUCAACCGCUACUGGGCGGUUCCCGAGCCACCCGAUUGCCCAAGCAAGGCGAACUCUGGGCGUUCGAGGGCCGUGCUGAGCCAAGCACAAACCCGCGAAGUCAUCAUCGCGUUGGACAGAACGAUAUCGGACAUCGAGAUGCGCCUGGCCGCCGCCAGAGCCGCGCAGAUGAGGAACCAAGGCGUGUCGCCGAGUGAUUCAGCCGCUGACCAGGGAAACAUGCGACCUAGAUUGCUUUUCGUCAUGGGUAUCAUGACCACAUUCGAUAAUCGGAGGCGCAGAGACUCUAUCAGGAAGACGUGGAUGCCACAAGGUAGAGCCUGUGAGCGUUUGCGAAUGCUGGAGAAGGACAAGGGCAUUGUCACGCGUUUUGUUAUUGGACGAAGUGCAAAUCCUGGUCCUGACAGUGAAGUGGAGCGUGCCAUGGAUGCAGAAGAGAAAGAAUACAAUGAUAUUCUUAGACUUAAUCACGUUGAAGGCCAGGAUGGGCUUCCUUUGAAGAUUCAGAUGUUUCUUUCAAGUGCUCUGUCCACGUGGGAUGCUGAUUUCUAUGUCAAAGUUGACGAUGAUGUUCAUGUCAACAUUGGUAUUACCAGAUCGAUUUUGGCACGACAUAGGUCAAAACCUCGGGUGUACAUCGGCUGCAUGAAAUCCGGACCUGUGAUCGCUAACAAUGAAUCUAAAUAUUACGAACCAGAUCAUUGGAAGUUUGGGACUGCGGGUAACAACUACUUUAGGCACGCAACACGGCAGCUGUAUGCUAUAACAAGGGACUUGGCGACCUACAUAUCAGCAAACAAGCAUAUCUUGCACAAAUAUACAAAUGAAGAUGUAUCAUUUGGUUCUUGGUUGAUUGGGUUGGAUGUUGAGCAUGUUGAUGAGAGAAGCCUUUGUUGUGGUAUUCCUCCAGACUGCGAAUGGAAGGCGCAGGCUGGGAACCCAUGUGGGGCAUCCUUCGACUGGAACUGCUCCGGCGUCUGCAAUCCAGCAGAGAGAAUGGAGGAGGUGCACCGGCGAUGCUGGGAACAUCGCGAGGCUGCUCUGCCACAAGCGCAGGAGUCUUGA
rnacentral:rRNA from 1 species